CCCUACGCGCUCCGGAACAAAAAGAAAACCUAACGCGCUCUCCCCUGGCCCCGAAACACGCUCAGAACCCGACACCGAUCCGACCGGUGACGUCCGUGUUGACCGCUGGAGACAAGCCGCGGAGCCACUUCUCUGAACGCUUUGCCUCAGUGUCUGCGGCCCCGCGGCCCCACCUCCCCGGCUGACAGGCCCCCCACCCCGCCCCGGAGCUGAAAGGACGGCGGUCGACGAGGGCCAUCCAGCGUCGUUCCAGACACCUAGAGUCUGGCUCUCGGACGCCUCUCUGUGACGUAAAAUAUCCUCGCCUGACUCGAGGAUAUUUACUGGGAGCAGCCAUUUUCCCACUUACUGCCGUACAGCGAGCGAAGGCUCUUUAUUCCGCCUUUCGUGGGAAGGCACAAGAUGAGAAGCCCAACAGAUUGAAGUGACAAGUUCCCGACGCAAGACCCACUACUCAUAAUUAUACAGCCAGGCUCAGAGCGCCUUCAAACCAAAGGGAUUGAGCAUUCAUUCAUUUAUCCAGCAGAUGUUUAUAAAAUGCCAACUGUGUGUCAGACACUGUUCUGCAUGCUGGGGAUACAAACGCUAUAAACACAGACAAAAAUACCCUUCUUUAUGGAGUUUUACAUUCUACUGGAGAUAUCACAUGAAGUUAUGGUUUGACUUCCUCAUUACAGCAAGUGUUAUGAUUGCCAUCUACAAUGUGACCUACAAUGCAACCUGGUUGUGUUGACCUACAAUACGACCUGGAAGGCAGAGCAUUGAACCAAAGAUGAUUAUUCUCAAGUCUUAAGAUCUAAUGGAAUUUGCUUUGCUGCGUUUUGGAUUUGUUUGGGACCUAUCACCCCUUUCUUCCUUCCAGUUUCUCUCCUUUAGAAUGCGAAUGUCUGCCCUAUUCCUGUCCCACCACUGUAUUUUGGAAGCAUGUGAAUUUUCUGGUUUUAAAGGUUCACAGCUGGAGAGGAAUUUUGCCUCAGGGUAAAUUGUACCUCAAGUCUCACCCAUGUCUGAUUUAGAUGAGACUUUGGACUCUAGACUUUAGAGUUGAUGUUGGAAUGAGUUAAGAUUUUGGAGACUGUUGGAGUGGAAUGCGUGUAUUUUGUAUGCAAGGACAUGAAUUUGGGAGGGUGCUAGGGGUGGAAUGUUAUAGACUGAAUGUUUGAGUCAUGUCAUAUUCAUAUGUUGAAGCCCUAACACCCAGUGUGGUUAUAUUUGGGGAUGAGGCCCCUAAGAAAGUAAUUAAGGUUAAAUGAGGUCAUAAGAGUGGGGGCUCUGAUCCAAUAAGUUUAGUUAUCUUAUAAGAAGAGACACCAGAGAACUCUCAGUGCAAACUGAGGAAAGGCCAUGUGAGAACGUAAGAAAGCAGCUGUCUGCAAGCCAGGAAGAGGAUCCUCACUAGAAACCAAAUCUGCUGGAACGUUGAUCUUGGACUUCUAGCUUCUAGAAUUGUGAGAAAAUAAAUUUCUGUUGUUUAAGCCAUCCACUCUGUGAUAUUUUGUUUUGGCAGCCAGAGCAGUCUUAAUACAGUGGUGAAUUACAUUGUUUAGAAAAUUAGACAAAUUUUAACCUACUUUGCAUUCUUUGGAUAAAACCAAUGUAGUCACGAAGUGUUUACCUUUUUUCUAUAUUGCCUAUGUGUUCAAUAGAAACCUGGGAAACACUUGCAGGAUCAUGGUGGAAAGAAUAUAACUUUGGAUCAGGCAAAUUUAAUAAUAUGGGGUUACCAUAUUGUUACCAUUACCUUAAUGGAUUUUGGCUUUAAUGUGAGCUCAAUUAGAAUGCUUCUAACAGUUUACAUGGUUGGUUGACUGAAACCUGACUUAUAGAUGGCCUAUACUAAAUAAAGUUUAAAUGCCAGAAAUUCCUUCAUAUUCUGUAGAGUAUCCAAAGGCAUAUGGAGUUGGCAAUGCUGAUGUGGCUUUAUCAUGUAAAACCAGCUUACCCAUCCCAAUUAUGUAUCCCAGGAGCAUCCAGAAGUCAGUCUCUUCAAUGAAGCUUAUCUGGCUACAGAAAUACUAUCAUAGAAAUCUGUUACUAUACAUGAAAAGGUACAAUAACACUUGAACUUAUAGGGAUAAGUUUAUGAUGCAUGCUGUAAACUCAUGGAAGCACUUAAAUAAGAAAGUUACAGCUAAAAGCCAACAAAGGAGAAAUAAUCUAAAACAUACUCAGUUACUCCAAAAGAAGGUAGAAAAAGAAGAAAAGGGGAGUAAAUAGAUGGGAUAAAUGGCACAGUGCACAUUAUUAAUUUAAACCUAGAUACAUUAAUUCUCACAUUAAAUAUAAAUGAUCUAAACACCCCAAUAAAAAGAAAGAUUAUCAACUAGAUUAAAAAAAAGCAAGAGUCCAAGCUAUAUGCUGCCUACUAGGAACCCACUUUAAAUAUUAAGUCACAAAUAGGUUAAAUGUAAACCAUGUUAAUAGAAAUAUGAAAGAUAAAAAGAAAGUCCUGUCAAAUUUAUAGAGAGAAAAACUACAAUUUCCGGAGUGAUGGCAGAUUAGAUAUUGCAGAAGAAAAGAUCAGUGAACUUGAAGAUAUAACAUUAAAAACUAUCCAAAAUUAAACACAGGGGGGAAAAAGACCUUAAAAGUAUGAACAGUAUUAUAACCUACUUGUGUAUGCAAAAGAAAAGAUCAGUGAACUUGAUGACAAGGCAAAAGAAACUAUACGAACUCCAGAACAAAGGAAAUAAAAGCUUAAAAAAGGCUUUUAUUACAAAAAGAAAAUCUUUGAGUACUUGGCCAAUGGGUAAGAGGUAUCAUUGUGAGGAAUGCCAAGUGGAAACCUCUCAAUUUGCCCUCCACUCUCUGAUCAAUACAGUGAAUGAAAAACAAUAUUAUGGGAGAGUUUAUAUGAUAGAAAGAAGUAAAACGUAUUGCAUAUCUUAUAAACUCCACAGUACAUUGUUAUUAUUAACAUGUUAAUCAUUCUUCUACCUUUUUGAUCUAAUGGAAUACAGCUAUAACUGUUUAUCCAGUUAUAGUGAUGUCAUUUGCUCAAUCUAGCACUUACGUCAGUUUUGAUUGGCUUUUCUCCUCAACAUUGGUCUCACUUUCCUUCUUUUAUGCAUGCCUGGCAAUCUUCUAGAUAUCUGGUAUACAGGGGUUAA